rnacentral:rRNA from 1 species
GACGAACGCUGGCGGCGUGCUUAACACAUGCAAGUCGAACGGAAAGGCCCUGCUGUUGUGGGGUGCUCGAGUGGCGAACGGGUGAGUAACACGUGAGUAACCUGCCCUUGACUUUGGGAUAACUUCAGGAAACUGGGGCUAAUACCGGAUAGGAGCUCCUGCUGCAUGGUGGGGGUUGGAAAGUUUCGGCGGUUGGGGAUGGACUCGCGGCUUAUCAGCUUGUUGGUGGGGUAGUGGCUUACCAAGGCCUUGACGGGUAGCCGGCCUGAGAGGGUGACCGGCCACAUUGGGACUGAGAUACGGCGCAGACGGCUACGGGAGGCAGCAGUGGGGAAUAUUGCACAAUGGGCGGAAGCGUGAUGCAGCAACGCCGCGUGCGGGAUGACGGCCUUCGGGUUGUAAACCGCUUUCGCCUGUGACGAAGCGUGAGUGACGGUAAUGGGUAAAGAAGCACCGGCUAACUACGUG